AGCGAACGCUGGCGGCAGGCCUAACACAUGCAAGUCGAACGAACCUUUCGGGGUUAGUGGCGGACGGGUGAGUAACACGUGGGAACGUGCCUUUAGGUUCGGAAUAACUCAGGGAAACUUGUGCUAAUACCGAAUGUGCCCUUCGGGGGAAAGAUUUAUCGCCUUUAGAGCGGCCCGCGUCGGAUUAGCUAGGUGGUUUAGGUAAUGGCUCACCAAGGCGACGAUCAGUAGCUGGUCUGAGAGGAAGAUCAGCCACAUUGGGACUGAGACACGGCCCAAAAUCCUACGGGAAGGAGGAGAGGGGAAUCUUGCGCAAUGGGCGAAAGCAUGACGCAGCCAUGCCGCGUGAAUGAUGAAGGUCUUAGGAUUGUAAAAUUCUUUCACCGGGGACGAUAAUGACGGUACCCGGAGAAGAAGCCCCGGCUAACUUCGUG
rnacentral:rRNA from 1 species